UUGACUCUAAACCGAUGCCUGAUAUCUGUAGUGGACUGGAUGAGCUUCCCCAAGAUCUUCAUCUACCAGAAAUUUACCUGUGAGAAAGAAGACUGAGGCCAGCUCCUGUUUCAAUGAAGAAGCAAAAAAUGACCUCCAGUGGAGGCUUCUAUCAAGGCAGUGAAGGAUGUACUCUAUUGAUUCCAACACCCUGCUACACUCUCUUGAAUCAUGCUUUUCUGAAGACUUUCCUGAACACUACAGAAUGGAUUUGGAGGAGAACAAUGCAAGAAAUUUUCCACUUCCCUCAGCAUUCAGACUCCAUUGCUGAUUUCUUCCACCACCGCCCCCAGGGGAAGCCCAGAUACAUGAAUCAGCAGUUGAAAACCACAAGCCACCUCUUCCUCAUAAUCAGGCCCUUGCUUUCUUGCUUGUGUCAGUGUGUAGAAUUCUUAAGAAUAGCAGCGACUAGCAAGUUUAUAUUGAUUCUGCUCUCCUAUAGUGGCAGCAGAAGCAGUCUCAGUUCCUCUAAACUGCCUAGGUCUAGGAAGUCCUCAUAAAUGCCCUUGUUUGGGAGAACAGAGGCAUGAGGCAUGUGGGAUGUACCAAGGAGGAGAAGGUACCUUCAUAACACAAAGCACCUUUUAAAAAAUGACCAAUAUUUCCAAGCUCUGACUAAUGUUUUCCUGUCUUCAGAGUCAUAUUUUGUUCAUCAACUCAGUGUUUUUGGGGUGAAAGAUGGAAGACACAUCCUUUCUGCUACAAAUUAUACUUAAUAAUGUGGCCUUUAUUUUCUUCUUUCACUUGAGCAUUAUAUAAUGGAUGCAUGUAUUUUAGCACAAAACUAGAUGCAACAGAACAGCCAUGUGAACGUAAUCUAUGUGUCUGUCCUGUUUAUAUAUAAAUUUGAGUGAAUAUUUCAUACUAAACAUGAAAGAGCACCCUCCCACCCUGUCUUGGUGUCCUGCAUUGCUUUUAAGCCAACUUCUUCUUGCUCAGCUCAAAAAGCAACAGGUUUCAAUGAGGUAUGUGUGGCAGAAUUUCCUUCACCCCUGUUUUAUAUGUAAACUGGUACUCAGGUGCCCACACAUGUCUAGCUGAGCCUCAAGAUCAUCAUCUUAUUAUCUCUUUUAAAGCAAUAUUUACCAUUCUGGUAAGUCGUAUUUCCUUAUCCUUUUGAACAAAGUUAUCUGAAAUUACUGUACUAAGGAGAUCAGGACUCCAUUUGCAUUGACAAUUUCCCUUCCAAAUCUUCAUACAUUAUAGUGGUGCUUUCUAGAAGUACACAAGAAAAUGUUUCAUUAUUGCAGUCAUUUUUACUAUCAAACUCUUAUUCUAUUAUCCAUUCAUUAAGAUUACACUCAUUGGGUUAUCGAUCUGUUUAAAUCACAUUGAAUUCAUAUGCCAUAUAUUUUUCUUUCUUUCUGUUGCCUGCAAAGGUUGCAACACAGGCUCCCUCUAAGCGGAUCCCCCACACACAGGCAAGAGAAGUUUCCCAAAACAACUCAGAGGCUGCAUUAAUGACAGCCAUGGAUAUUGCAUUCUGGAGAUUAACAUGGCAGCCCACACAGAUGGCCACCAAUUCUUAUCAUGAGCUCAGUUCCCCCUGCCAAAAAGUACUGAGUCUUUGGGUAAAUGGAAAAUAAAAUAGGAGCAGCCAUAGCAGUGUGGGAAUAAUUCAUUUCGUUCACUGUUUAAUGCAAACUUAACUUUAUUCCUUUUUAUAACUAAUACAGACACCAAAAUUCAGUUAUUCUUUCAUAUUUGCAUCUCAAUAGUGGAUUUCUUAAGUCAAAACACAUGUGCAAAUGUGUAUUUUAUGGAAAAGAAGAUACACAAAAUGCAACUAUUGUUGAAAACAAUGUUUAACAUUCAUUACAUCAAGAAAAUAGUGUGGAAAAAUGGUGUCUAUUUGGGAAAUGCUACAUUUUCAAAAGUGUGUCAUGUCCCCACAGGAGAAAUCCUCUUUGAA